CCUACGGGAGGCAGCAGUGGGGAAUUUUUCGCAAUGGGGGCAACCCUGACGAAGCAAUGCCGCGUGGAUGAAGAAGCCCUUCGGGUUGUAAAGUCCUUUCGUGGGGACGAAAAGGCGGAUCCGAAUACGGUCUGCUAUUGACGUGAACCCAAGAAGAAGCACCGGCUAACUCCGUGCCAGCAGCCGCGGUAAUACGGAGGGUGCGAGCGUUAAUUGGAAUUACUGGGCGUAAAGGGCGCGUAGGCGGUGGGUUACGUCUGCCGUGAAAUCCCCUGGCUCAACCUGGGAAUGGCGGUGGAAACGGGCUGACUGGAGUAUGGGAGAGGGUGAUGGAAUUCCAGGUGUAGCGGUGAAAUGCGUAGAGAUCUGGAGGAACACCAGUGGCGAAGGCGGUCACCUGGCCCAAUACUGACGCUGAGGCGCGAAAGCGUGGGGAGCAAACAGGAUUAGAUACCCUGGUAGUCCACGCCCUAAACGAUGGAUACUGGAUGUUUGGCGCCUUAGGUGCUGAGUGUCGUAGCUAACGCGAUAAGUAUCCCGCCUGGGAAGUACGGCCGCAAGGUUAAAACUCAAAGGAAUUGACGGGG
rnacentral:rRNA from 1 species